ACGGGAGGCAGCAGUGGGGAAUAUUGCACAAUGGGCGCAAGCCUGAUGCAGCAACGCCGCGUGAGCGAUGAAGGUCUUCGGAUCGUAAAGCUCUGUCCUUGGGGACGAAGAAGUGACGGUACCCGAGGAGGAAGCCCCGGCUAACUACGUGCCAGCAGCCGCGGUAAUACGUAGGGGGCGAGCGUUAUCCGGAAUUAUUGGGCGUAAAGAGUACGUAGGUGGUUCCGUAAGCGGGGGGUGAAAGCCCGGGGCUCAACUCCGGCGAGCCUUCCGAACUGCGGGACUUGAGUGCAGGAGGGGAAAGUGGAACUCCAUGUGUAGCGGUGAAAUGCGUAGAUAUAUGGAAGAACACCGGUGGCGAAGGCGACUUUCUGGACUGUAACUGACACUGAGGUACGAAAGCGUGGGGAGCAAACAGGAUUAGAUACCCUGGUA
rnacentral:rRNA from 1 species